CUCUUCUAUCGAAACUUCUAUCCGAGAUAUGGUAUUGAAUUGAUGGAUCUAAAAUCCAAAACAUAUAUGGAUCAUUUCUUCCUAAAAUCCGUAUGCAUUUCCUUCUUCAUUGUAGAUACGUUAUUCUCACCACCUCAUCCUCAUGAAGUGGACUCCUUCCCUCCACUAGUUAGUUAGUAAGCGGAGCCUUCACAAAUCAUGUUUGGCUUCUCCGUCCAAACUGCAAACACUUCCCAACAUGCAAAUAAAAGCAUAUUGUCUCCUUAGCCAAUCAAAAUGUUGUUAGGAACUUAUCUUGUGUUGAUAAGGUGAACACCACAUCUUCAUCCAUCGUCCAUCAUGUUACAAAGGCUGAUCAACUCAGAAACAAAUCUUGGAGCUCUUUUCUGUAUCUUUCCAAUGAUAUAAAAAUUUU
rnacentral:lncRNA from 1 species